rnacentral:rRNA from 1 species
UAGCCUAACGGCUGAACCAGCAACUUGGAGGAAUGAAUGGCGAAAGCUGAUUGUACCGAUAUCAUCGAAUAAAAUUCUGGGUGGAAUAUGAUAAUGACAAUUUCUGAUAUUUCUUGACCAAACUACGUGCCAGCAGUCGCGGUAAUACGUUAUAGAUCAGUGUUAUUCAUCUUUAUUGGGUUUAAAGGGUACCUAGACGGUAAAUUAAGCCACUAAUAUAUAGAGUUUAAUGUGAUGGGGCUGAGAUGUACUUGUAGAAAUGAAAUUUUGUGAUACCCGCACAGUCAUAGGCGAAAGCAUCUCUUUAUGUAUUAACUGACGUUG